GGGGCGGUAGCUCAGCUGGGAGAGCGCGUCGUUCGCAAUGACGAGGUCGCGGGUUCGAUCCCCGCUCGCUCCACCA
rnacentral:tRNA from 1 species